UAUGGUGCUCUUGAAUUUUGGUUCAACCCGCAGCGAUAGCGCGGGCAAUAAACUAGCAUACACACAUGCAAUCUCGUUUAGAAGAAGGGGAAGAGAACAAGGUACAGAUGUUAGUUGAUGAAAAAGGAGUCAAUAUUCCCACCACCGGCACCGGCACCGACUUGACAAGAACUUCUUCCCCUUCCACUUGUACUACUGCUACUGCUACUUGCACUACUACAUCUUCGAGAGCUCUACAGCAACGCUUAUUCUCUCUAUUACAAAGAAAACAACAACCAACCCUUAAACAUGUCACUCAGAUUCAUGCCCAGAUUCUCAUCAACGGCUUUUCCCGCACUAAAAACUUCCUUCUUGUACACCUUCUCUCCUUCUACAGCAACUCCUCUGCUCACCAUCUCCUCUCUGCCCACUAUGUCUUUAAAGAUAUUCAAAGCCCCAGCACUAUCCUCUGGAACCAGAUGAUUAGGGCUCAUGCUCGGAGCCAAACCCCUGCCAAAUCUAUUCAGUUCUUCAAUCAAAUGUUGCUCACCGAUUCCCGCCCUGAUGCCCACACCUAUUCCUUUCUUUUGGCUGCUUGUACGUCUUCUUUGUCUUUGAGGGAGGGACAGCAGGUUCACUCCAAAGUAUUGACUAAUGGCUAUUAUUCCUCAAAUGUCUUUCUCAUGUCCAAGUUGGUUAAUUUCUAUGCUGCUGUUGUUGGUGGCGAAGGCGCUGCUCUUGCAUCCGCACGCAAAGUGUUUGAUGAUAUGUCUGAAAGAAAUGUUGUCUGCUGGAAUUCCAUGCUCGCGGGGUAUAUGAGGCGUGGAAAUCUUGACGGGGCAAGGAGGAUUUUUUAUGAGAUGCCAGAGAGGAACGUCGUCUCGUGGACUACUAUGAUUUCAGGGUAUGCGAAAAAUGGCAAGUGCAAGCAGGCAUUGAAUUUGUUCGAUCAAAUGAGGAAAGCCGGAGUGGAAUUGGACCAGGUGGUAUUAUUGGCAGCCUUGACAGCGUGUGCAGAACUGGGGGAUUUAAAAAUGGGGAUGUGGAUUCACUCGUAUAUCCAAGAUACCUUUGUUGGGUCAAACCAGCGAGUGUUGGUUUCUUUGAACAAUGCACUUAUACACAUGUAUGCUAGCUGCGGUAUGAUUGAUGAAGCUUAUGAAGUAUUUAGGUGGAUGCCAGAGAGAAGUGCGGUUUCCUGGACAAGCUUGAUCACUGCUUUUGCAAAACAGGGCUAUGCGCAAGCAGUUCUUGAAAUAUUUCGCUCGAUGCAAAGAUUGGGCACUUCGGAAGCAAGGCCCGAUGGCAUAACCUUUAUUGGGGUUCUCUGUGCGUGCAGUCAUGCUGGACUUGUUGACGAGGGCCGUCAACUCUUCAAGGACAUGAUUCAGCGUUGGGGUAUUAAGCCUAGGAUUGAGCACUAUGGGUGCAUGGUUGAUUUAUUGAGUCGUGCUGGUUUCUUGGAUGAGGCACAAGAACUCAUUGCGACCAUGCCUGUAAAACCAAAUAAUGCUGUUUGGGGUGCUCUCCUUGGUGGUUGCAGGUUUUAUCGCAAUGCUGAGCUUGCUUCUCUCGUGUCUCAAAAAUUGGUUGCGGAACCUGACCCUGACAAAGCUGCUGGUUAUCUUUCUCUUUUGGCACAAGUGUAUGCGUCUGCUGAAAAGUGGCAGGAUGUUGCUACUGUGAGACAGAAGAUGGUCGCGAUGGGUGUGAAAAAGCCUGCUGGUCAAAGCUGGGUUCAAAUAAAUGAGGUGGUUCAUGAUUCUGUGUCAGUUGAUAAGACUCAUAAAAAUACAUCUUCAAUUUAUGAGAUGCUUGGAAAAAUCCACCAGGCAAGCAAAGUUGAAAGGCUAUAAACCAGACAUAUCAAAAGUGUUACCAGAUGUGUAUGAGUAAGUCAAGCAGAAUGUUCAUUUUAUCCGUUUCCAUCACCUUGCCACAAUUGUUUCUGCUGCAACCUUUCUUUUUCCACUUAUUCUGCCACCUACGUAGUUCUGUUUGACUGCUUGUUGUUUGCUUAACAAUUUGAUGCAUACACUCGCAGAACACAACAAGAAAUCCAAACUUUUGUUUUGGCCAAAAAAAGAAAAAAAAUGAGAAUGAAUGGCGUUGAUGUUAUUUUUGAAAUACUUCUUCACCUACCCUUAAAGCCCUCGCUGACAUCCAAGUGUGUCUGUGUGUGAAUGGUGGAAUUUCCUGAAUAGAUUGAUGUUGCUGAAAGAUCAAGAACCUUAAUUAAGCCAAUGAAAUUGUGUGAAAAAGAAUCUGCAAUUAAUCAGUGUCGAAUCUUGAUUGAUGGAUAAUGUUAUAAAGUCGAAAGUCUGGUGCACAGUGGUAGAAAUAUAUUAUAUGUAUCGGUUACAUAUAACUUUUAUAAUACUAAGCACCCUUGAAAAUUCAUUUUUACAAACUAUUACUUACAUGUGUAAAAGUCAUCUAGAGAUAUAUAUGAUCAUUACCUCCAAACUAUCAUUUAAUCAAACUAAGCAUUCAAAAUUAAAACUUAUAUUGAUUCUUCUUGCAGGAAUUAAGAAGUUGACUAAGCAUACACACAUUAAGAAAAUACAUUCUAGGAAGAUUAUGAGUUUUCUGAAUCUUGGGAAGGCUACUUAUCUUUUCCUAUUUCGUGAUAAAUUAAGAAAAUCUUAAACAAUGCUGCAAUUUAAGGAAUGUCCUGAUGUGCUUUUUUUAUGUCCUAAUACGACCCUCUCCGUUCCCUAGUAUUACUAUAUAUAGAUUUCAGUUCGUAUGUUUCUUUUUCUUUUUUUCUUCUUUUCGAGCCUUGUGAACUAGCCUGCUGCUCCUGUCUUUUUCGGUCUUCUGCUUUGUUUUUUUUUUUUUUUUUUCUCUUUAUAAUUUACUUUCAAGAUAUUUGAAUACCACAAGAUAAAAGAAAAGAAGUUGGAAGAGAAGGUGACAAGAGAAAUCAAAAUCUUGAAAUCAUUAAGGAGAGUGGGAGGUUAGGGGAAGAUGAGACGCGCAAGUUUUUUCAAUAGAUAAUUUAUGCUGCGGAACACUGCCAUUGGAAGAAGCUUGCUCACGGAGACCUUAAGCUUGAGAACUUAUUAUUGGGCUAGUCUAAAACCAAGGUAAAAAUAGCUGAUUUUGGGUUGAGAAACGUAUUGCCUGAUGACCAUCUUUUUGAGGCUAUGUUGCCCCUGAGGUUUUAUCUGGGAAGCCAUAUGCUGGGCCUCCAGCAGAUGUAUGGAGUUGUGGUGUUGUUGAUAAGGGAAUUUUUAGCAUGUAUAUUUUCUGCUAUUCAUGCUUGAUUUUUAAAUAUUUUGGAUAUGUUGCACAAGACAAUUAGAAUUUUGAAUCUCUUUUUGAACUAUUGACCUCGUGGGAAAUUAAUGUGUUUUCAGAUCUUAGGUUACUGAACAGGCAGAGCCGGGCAGUGAAACUGAACAGUGAUUCAUUAUGUGCUGCAAAGAAGCUAUACAAUUUAGUUCCGGAUGUUCGUAACCAUUUUCAAAUAGCUGAGAUGAAGGUCUACAAAACAUAUGAAGGACAUAUAACUCAGUUUUGUUGUUUCGAAGCCCAAAAAGCGAGUUGAAAAACAAGGAUUGAACCAGCCCGAAAUUCCUGCACUGCAAAGACUGUUUCGGUUUAUAGCCCAUAUCUCAACGCUCAGAGGUCCAAAAAUUGCAAGAUCAGUGUCGUUGGAAAGAAAAUUUGAUUCUCUACAAUUUCUCCAGAAAUAGAGAUCUUUGAAUUCGCACGUUUCCUACCUCAAAUCUGGCCCGCAAUGUCUGGGUAGGAGAAAUCAAUGCAGAAAAGGAAAUUUUCCUCAUUACUGCAGGGGUAGAAAAGCCACAAUAUAAAAGAAGAGUUACGGGUCAGAAAAACAGAGGAGGGGAGACACUUAGAAACCCUGAACAUAGCAAAGAAAAACAGAGGAGGCGGCACCAACAGGAACACCAAGAACAGAGGCAAAAAUAUUGAAGACCGGGAGGACACCUAUCUCUUCCACUGAAAUUCUCUGCUUUUGAGUGAUGUUCAUCGUAUCAAGUUUGUUUCUCUUUGAUUUAACUAUGGAGUAGACUUUUAUUCUGGGAUUUUUGAUGUAACCUUACUAUGAAUAUGUGAACAAUUUCUUCGAUUGAAUUAUUACAUUAAGAUGUUGAGUAUUUCA